rnacentral:rRNA from 1 species
GACGAACGCUGGCGGCGUGCCUAAUACAUGCAAGUCGAACGCAGUGGGGACGGGUGAGUAACACGUGGGUAACCUCCCAUCAGAGGAGAUAACACUUGGAAACAGGUGCUAAACCGAUACUGAUGGAUGGACCCGCGGUGCAUUAGAUAGUUGGUGAGGUACCGGCUCACCAAGGCCACGAUGCAUAGCCGACCUGAGAGGGUGAUCGGCCAAACUGGGACUGAGACACGGCCCAGGCCCCUACGGGAGGUAGCAAUAGAAAAUCUGCGGGAAGGGACGAAAGACUGACCGAACAACACCGCGUGAAUGAAGAGGGUUUUCGGAUCCUAAACCUCUGUUGUUAGAUAAGCGGCAUCUAACCAGAACGCCACGGCUAACUACGUGCCAGCUGCCGCGGUGAUUC